ACGAACGCUGGCGGCGUGCUUAACACAUGCCGGUCGAACGGAAAGGCCCUGCUUUUGUGGGGUGCUCGAGUGGCGAACCGGUGAGUAACACGUGAGUAACCUGCCCUUGACUUUGGGAUAACUUCAGGAAACUGGGGCUAAUACCGGAUAGGAGCUCCUGCUGCAUGGUGGGGGUUGGAAAGUUUCGGCGGUUGGGGAUGGACUCGCGGCUUAUCAGCUUGUUGGUGGGGUAGUGGCUUACCAAGGCUUUGACGGGUAGCCGGCCUGAGAGGGUGACCGGCCACAUUGGGACUGAGAUACGGCCCAGACUCCUACGGGAGGCAGCAGUGGGGAAUAUUGCACAAUGGGCGGAAGCCUGAUGCAGCAACGCCGCGUGCGGGAUGACGGCCUUCGGGUUGUAAACCGCUUUCGCCUGUGACGAAGCGUGAGUGACGGUAAUGGGUAAAGAAGCACCGGCUAACUACGUG
rnacentral:rRNA from 1 species